rnacentral:rRNA from 1 species
AUGAAACCACUUGGUCACGAUGAUUCAAGGAAAUUAUUUUUCAGAACAACUUUUGGUCCACAAUAUGAAUGUCCUCCAGAACUCAGUGAAGUUGCAAAUGAUAUAGUAGGGAAAUGUGCUGGUUCCCCACUAGCAGUGGUUACUAUUGCCGGUCUUUUAGCAAACCAGAUGGGCAAACCAGAGCAGUGGAAUUUUGUAAAUAAAUCCUUAGGUCAUGGUUUGAGGAUAAAUCCUGCUUCAGAGGGGAUGAAACAAGUACUAAACCUUAGUUACAACAAUCUUCCUCUGCAUUUGAAGGCAUGCCUGAUGUAUCUCAGUAUAUAUCAAGAGGAUUACAUAAUUCAGAAGAAUGAUUUGGUAAAGCAAUGGAUAGCUGAAGGUCUUAUCCAUGCAACAGAAGAGAAAGACAUGGAGGAAAUAUCAAGGAUCUGUUUUGAUGAGCUUAUCAGUAGAAGACUGAUCAAACCUGUACAUAUAAAUGACAAUGGUGAUGUUUUGUCCUGCACAGUGCAUCAUAUGGUACUUGAUUUUAUCAAACAAAAGUCCUUAGAAGAGAAUUUUGUCACCGCAAUAGAUCCUUGUCAGACAACUGCACCACUCGCAGACAAGGUUCGUCGACUGUCUCUUCACUUUGGUAAUGCAGAAGCAACCCCACCAACAAAUAUGAUACCAUCACAAGUUCCAACUCUUGCAUUUUUCGGGGUCAUCAAGUGUUUGCCUUCCAUUGUGGAGUUUCAGCUUCUUCAAGUUCUAAUCCUUCAUCUCUGGGGCGAGGAUGAAAGCAUCAGUGUUGAUCUCACCGGAAUAUCUGAGCUAUUUCGGCUGAGAUAUUUGUAUGUCACAUGUAAUGCCACCUUAAAAUUACCACAAACCCAGAUGCGGGGUCUACAAUAUUUGGAGACACUGAAAAUAGAUGCAAGAGUAAGCGCAGUUCCGCCGGACGUUGUUCAUUUGCCGGGCUUAUUGCACUUAAGUCUUCCUGUUGAAACAAAUUUGCCCAAUGUAUUGGCCGCAUGA